rnacentral:lncRNA from 1 species
UAUUAAAAUUUAGAUGAAACUUAAUUAAAAAAUUAAUAUAAAAUUUUAUUUAAAUUAUGAAUUAUUUUGGAUCGCGUAAUUUAUUUUUCAAUAUUCCAGGGCGUGUUUGGUUCAAAGUCGAGUCGGAAUCGGAAUCAGAAUCAAAAUAAGCUGGAAUCGAAAUCGGAAUGACUCAUUACCUAAUUCUGUUUGGUUCAUCACUUGAAUCGGAAUCGGAAUAAAUCAUUCCCAUUGUCGGUGUUUGGUUCAGGUGGAUAUAUAAAACGUAAUCAAAUUAAUAUACUAACAUUAUCUUUAUAAUAUAUUAAUUUAAAUUCAAAUUAAAAAUUAAAUAUUAAAAAUUUACAUCAAAAU